CCGUGAUAAAGUAGCAUAAUCACUCGUCAUUUAAUUGGUGACUGGAAUGAAUGGUUACACGAAUCUUUAACUGUCUCAAGAAGAAAGUUCAAUUAAUUUGAAAAAACAGUGAAGAUGCUGUUAACAAAAUUGUAAGACGAAAAGACCCUUUCGAGCUUUACUAUAAGCUUAUAGAAAAAAUCUUUAAUAAAAAUAUAAUAAAAACAAACUGUAAGCUAGUUAGUUUGGUUGGGGCGACCACCUCUAAAACAGUAUCAGAGGAAAUCUAAAGGUGUAAUAGUAAUAUUAAUUGCCUUACUGUAUACAAACAAGUUAAUCAGUUACUAUCAUGUAGGAUAUAAUGACCCGUUGAAUUAAUUUCAAAAUUCAACGACCAUGAAAAAAGUUACCGUAGGGAUAACAGGGUAAUAUUAUCAAAGAGUUCAUAUCGAUGAUGAU
rnacentral:rRNA from 1 species